GGGCUUGUACUGGUUUCGACGGAGGUCUGGAAGUUGGAGAAGCCAUCCGUAGUGGGACACUACGUUAAAAGUUCCAAUUAAAUAUAAACGCAGACAAUAGAGAAUUAGCGUACGCUGCUUAAUUAAGCGGCAGUCGGCCUCGGGUAAUCCGCUGCCUGAGUCACCGGCUUCAACGAGGCGGAGCACUUCGUUUCCAAAGCUUUGAGGGAAUGGAAGAACUUAUGAAGCUACUGAAACCGGAAGCCUGUCAUUAGGCGGCCGGCAGAGGGAAUGU
rnacentral:tmRNA from 1 species